GUGGGGAAUAUUGGACAAUGGGCGAAAGCCUGAUCCAGCAACGCCGCGUGAGUGAUGAAGGCCUUCGGGUUGUAAAGCUCUGUCAGAGGGAACGAAACAGGGUGACCUAACACGUCAUCCGAUGACGGUACUCUCAAAGGAAGCACCGGCUAACUCUGUGCCAGCAGCCGCGGUAAGACAGAGGGUGCUAGCGUUGUUCGGAAUUACUGGGCGUAAAGCGCGUGUAGGCGGUGGGGUAUGUCCGGUGUGAAAGCCCUCGGCUCAACUGAGGAAGGGCAUUGGAAACUACCUCGCUCGAGUGCGGGAGAGGGUGGCGGAAUUCCCAGAGUAGAGGUGAAAUUCGUAGAGACUGGGAGGAACACCUGAGGCGAAGGCGGCCACCUGGCCCGCUACUGACGCUGAUACGCGAAAGCGUGGGGAGCAAACAGGAUUAGAAACCCGUGUAGUCC
rnacentral:rRNA from 1 species